UACGAAGGGGGCUAGCGUUGCUCGGAAUGACUGGGCGUAAAGGGCGCGUAGGCGGUUUGUACAGUCAGAUGUGAAAUUCCUGGGCUCAACCUGGGGGCUGCAUUUGAUACGUAUGGACUGGAGUGAGGAAGAGGGUCGUGGAAUUCCCAGUGUAGAGGUGAAAUUCGUAGAUAUUGGGAAGAACACCGGUGGCGAAGGCGGCUCUCUGGACCGAUACUGACACUGAGGCGCGAAAGCGUGGGGAGCAAACAGG
rnacentral:rRNA from 1 species